UGUAGAAGGUCUGGGGCCAGAGUAGUCGUUAUUCCUGGCGCUGCGUCCGCGCGCCUUACUCUGCCCCAACCAAGAUGGCCGCCGGCGCCGGACACUCGCGGGUGCUUCCGCGGCCUUUUGCGGCUUACCUCGUCUCCUCCUGAGGUCUGGAUGCCGCUGCACGUCUCUCGGCGUUGUCCUGCAAGGGGGUCUCGGCGGUAGCGGGUGUCGCUCCCGUCCACACGGCUCCCGGGAGCUCUCGACGUCCGGCCGGGGAUCAGCAAAAUCCAGGUCCCGGCUCCAAACCCUGAGGCUACGGCUGACGGGACCCGGUGUAAACGUAGCACCUUGUGUGACGUCAUCUACCUCGGCCACGGCCCCGGGACCACGAGCCUAACACUGUGGGUGUAUUGUCUAUAAAGAAUGUCUGGAUAUCCCACAGUGGACUUUUAACCAAAAAGUGCAUCACAUUCAACAUUUAAAAAGGAAAAUACAAAAAAAAAAAAGAAAAU